AACUAUUAGGACACCAUAGAGAAGAGCUGUUCAGACUUAUUAGGAUCAUGGAAGGAAGCUGGAUUCUUUGAUUACCAACCUGAAAUUGCUCAGAAUGGCUUGCAACAGAAAAUGGAUCUUCAGAAGCUGCCCACAAGGUCACUGACAACAGCAACCAGCUCUCUUCAUCAGCCCCUGCCAACCCCACAAAAAGUACAUAUUCUCCUUCAGAAGGAUCCAUGAGGCCGCCAUUCAAUGGCUGACAGAAAUGGAAAAUCGAUUCCAGAUUCAUCUCUGCUGGGAAUUAAGUAUAUUCCUUCGAAAUAAUGAGUUAUGAGGUCAUUGAGGGCUUGUUCUUUUCCUGCUUGCAGAGACAUUUUAAUUUUAGAAGAAAGAGUGACUAAUGAACAGGACAUUCUAAUUCCGGUGAUGUGCUUUUUCCCAUUUUAAUGUCAGCUGAACCACAAAAAUGUUGAUAUUUCUCUCUUCAUUAGUCCUCAUGGUUCAGGAAGAACAUUGUCGCCAAAGGGAAAAAAAACUGGGUAACUCCUGAUCCCUCCACCCAGUUUCAAAAGACAAAACAAGGUGCAGCUCUGAUGUCAGC
rnacentral:lncRNA from 1 species